UAAUCUGCCCUCUGAUGGGGAAUAACUCGCCGAAAGGCGAGCUAAUUCCGCAUAACAUUCCUUGGACUCCGGUCCGAGGAUUCAAAGGCGUAAGUCGUCGGAGGUGGAGCCCGCGCACGAUUAGCUAGUUGGUGAGGUAAUGGCUCACCAAGGCUAUGAUCGUUAGCUGGUCUGAGAGGAUGGCCAGCCACACUGGAACUGAGAUACGGCCCAG
rnacentral:rRNA from 1 species